rnacentral:rRNA from 1 species
CCUGCAUGUCUAAGUAUAAGCAAUUAUACAGCGAAACUGCGAAUGGCUCAUUAUAUAAGUUAUCGUUUAUUUGAUAGUACCUUACUACUUGGAUAACCGUGGUAAUUCUAGAGCUAAUACAUGCUAAAAAUCCCGACUUCGGAAGGGAUGUAUUUAUUAGAUUAAAAACCAAUGCCCUCUGGGCUCCUUGGUGAUUCAUGAUAACUCUUCGAAUCGCACGGCCUUGCGCCGGCGAUGGUUCAUUCAAAUUUCUUCCCUAUCAACUUUCGAUGUUUGGGUAUUGGCCAAACAUGGUUGCAACGGGUAACGGAGGGUUAGGGCUCGACCCCGGAGAAGGAGCCUGAGAAACGGCUACUACAUCCAAGGAAGGCAGCAGGCGCGCAAAUUACCCAAUCCCGAUUCGGGGAGGUAGUGACAAUAAAUACUGAUACAGGGCUCUUUUGGGUCUUGUAAUUGGAAUGAGUACAAUUUAAAUCCCUUAACGAGGAACAAUUGGAGGGCAAGUCUGGUGCCAGCAGCCGCGGUAAUUCCAGCUCCAAUAGCGUAUAUUAAAGUUGUUGUGGUUAAAAAGCUCGUAGUUGAACCUUGGGCCUGGCUGGCCGGUCCGCCUCACCGCGUGCACUGGUCCGGCCGGGCCUUUCCCUCUGUGGAACCCCAUGCCCUUCACUGGGCGUGGCGGGGAAACAGGACUUUUACUUUGAAAAAAUUAGAGUGCUCCAGGCAGGCCUAUGCUCGAAUACAUUAGCAUGGAAUAAUGAAAUAGGACGCGCGGUUCUAUUUUGUUGGUUUCUAGGACCGCCGUAAUGAUUAAUAGGGACAGUCGGGGGCAUCAGUAUUCAAUGGCAAGAGGUGAAAUUCUUGGAUUCAUUGAAGACUAACUACUGCGAAAGCAUUUGCCAAGGAUGUUUUCAUUAAUCAGGAACGAAAGUUAGGGGAUCGAAGACGAUCAGAUACCGUCGUAGUCUUAACCAUAAACUAUGCCGACUAGGGAUCGGACGAUGUUAUUUUUUGACGCGUUCGGCACCUUACGAGAAAUCAAAGUGCUUGGGCUCCAGGGGGA